CGAUUUGGUGCAGCGAGUGUUCCCGCCUGAAAGCCGAGUUUGGUUUCAAGCCACUCUGGACAACUGCUGUAUGAGGCGCCGUUUCUCUGGAGCACCAGUGGGAAGGCGCCAGGUCAUGCAGAUGGCAGCAGCAAUUUCACAAUGCCCAGCCUUGGCGCCCCCCAUCAAGAGCAAGCCACUUGCGUUCGCCUUCAGACAGAUGGUUAAUGUCUUCUUGAAAGCGGUUGAGAAGACAACAUUGAUGCAAGAUUCCAGCAAUGCCAUGCGCUGCGUUGGUCAAGAUGCUCAGAGAAUGGAGUCCCUGCACCUCGUGGUUAACCGUGAACAUUUCUUUUUCUUUUGGAAAGCUAAAGGCCAUUCGCUGCAUGACUUGCAUUUUUGCAGCUCGGAUGUGUACUAUAUUUUUCUAAUUUUGAAUCAAUAUUGGCUGUUCAGUAUAAAAAAUGAUGUACAGCGUGAAGGACAAGGACUGCGACAGACACACUCCACUGACUUUCAACAAUAUUUUAUUGCGUUGACACAUCGUGUGUGUAAACAUAAGAGGGGUCAUGCGCAGAAAAUGAAAGCCAGUCACAAGGGGUGUUCUAACAGCAAGUCAUUGUAAAAAGAACAUGUUACUUGAAAAAAAAAAGCAUCACAAUUUCUAUCUGUUUAGAUACAAAAUUUCUCUAGGGGUCAGCGUGAUAGAGGGGGCACUAACGCACACACUACCCAGUUUUCUGGUGAAAUCAGCUUCAAUAAUUUACUGGGUGAGCUGUGUCUCGCUAGACCUUCCGUAUCUUCAAAGAGGGCCAUGCAACCGCAGUCCUGGCAAUGAAUGCCCAAGUGGCCUUGAACAGUGUUAUUGACGUUGUUAUAGUGCUCUCUUAAACGAUCAUUUAGGCACCUGCCUGUCUGUCCAAUAUAUUUACUGCCUCAAAAUGGGAAUUUGGGAAACCACAUUCGUUGCACACAUCGCAAAACGUUUUCUGUGCCCAGCAGAGCAACAACUCUGAUGCGAUUUAGGCGCGUUUACACGCUUACAGAGCCUUGCCAGCUUUUCCGGGGCUGAGGAAAGACUGUGAUUCCUGCAGGUUCCCCAAUCUUUUUUAGCCUAUGGGAGACAUCAUGAACAUACAAUAGCACUGCAAACCUGUGUCUUUCAACCGGCUGGUUCCUUGACCGAGCGUGCUCAUCAUGUUUUGUGCACUUCAGAAGCUGUUCCGCUAUGGCUGAAAUUAAGGCCAAAGGGUAGCCAACGCAAGAAAGGCAAUCAACCUGUGCAGCAACACUAUGUUGCAUCUCGUGUGAGCAAGAUUUAUUGAGGCUGUUAAGGAGGCAAAGCUUUACAAUAUCUCAUUUGACUUUGUUGGACAGACAGGCAGGCGCCUAAACAAUAAUUUAGGAGAGCACGAUAACAACGUCCAUAACACUGUUCAAGGCCACUUCGGCAUCCAUUGCUGGGACUGCGGCUGCGUGCCCCUCUUUGAAGGUACGGAAGCUUUAGCGAGACACAGGUCAUCCGGGAAACUAUAGAAGCAGAUUCCACUAGAAAACUGGUUAGUGUGUGCGUUAGUGACCCCUCUAUCGUGCUGACCCCUAGUGAAGACUUGUAUCUCAACAGAUAGAAAUUCUAAUGUUUAUUUUUUUCAAAGGACGAUGUUCUUACUACAGUCAUUUGCUGUUAGACACCCUUUGUGACUCAUUCUGCGCAUGCCCGCUUUUGUACAUAUACACAUGAUGUGGCAACGUAAUAAAAUGUUGGAAGUCAACGCAGUCUGACAUCUCUCGCAGUUCUUGUCAUUCAAGCUGUACGUAAUUUUAUCUCAUUCAUUGCAAACUAUCCCAAGAAACUACCCUUGUUCAGUAUAAUUAUCAUGUUUGAUACGACCAUUUGCUGGCAAAUGUUAACAGUGUGAUAUUUAACUUGAACUUUUGCAUGACUGCCUAUGCCUGUGUUCUUUUAGUAACCAGAGUAUGGCUAAUUUAUUAAACGAAGUUUGCUAAUUUGCAUGCUCACAUGCUACAGCACGCCUUAAUCUUGAACUACUGCAUCCAAGUGCAAAUAAUUUAGAAAUUUACUAGGUAUUUUAAAACACUCCACAUUUUGUGCUCAGCUAAAUCGUUUAAUCAACAGUGGUUUGUUUUUAUCAGGCCUCCUACUGCAGUUUGCACCCAGGCACUAGUAGAUCUGGAAUAUGCACUCUUGAUUUAUAGUAAGAAAAGAACCUAUUUUCAAACUACAUAUUGUAGAUGUACCAGUGCCUUCGAGUUACAAAACAAAAAUUUAUAGAGACUGGUAUUGUAGUUAGAAAAACCGCUACACAGCACCUUUAGCCCAGAGAACUCUCGUUUCACAAAAGAGGACAAACUAUGUAGGCACUAAAAAAUUCUACGUAUUAUUGUGCUCAAGUAAUCUUGUGGGAAAUAGAAAAUUACCAAUAAGGCUCCUGGCUUAAACCUCACUUAAAGCAUGUCUAUGCUUGGGAAGUAUUGUUUCAGUCUGAAAAAUGUUGGCCAGUUCUGCUUUACAUCGACUUUCCAAACUUUUCAUAAUGUUUUGGGAUUACAUUAGUGUACAAAAUAACAGGUGUCUUUCUUGUGCGUUUGCUCUGCAUUUCAAUUGCUUCCCUAAUUCACCUUUGCAAUAUGCCUUUUUUUAAGGCAUCAGAACUUGAAUUUUUGUUCACUGGAGCCUAAUACUAAAAAUUUAUUCCUUUAUGUGGCCCAAAACACUGCGAAUCAACCCAGGCUAUUUCAGUGCCGCUAUACAUAGUUUCUUCUCUAAUAACAGAUUUGAUCAAUACUUAUAUUUUAGAUACCUUUGUGGGAAAUGUACAUGUUCUUGUACUUACCGAUGUGUUUGGUGAUUGUGCAUGUUUAUAUUUAAUGUGAUUUAUGUAUAUAUUGUACUCUGUAUUGCAGCAUGCAAUAAAUAUAGUUGCAUUUUCUUGAAAAUGCAGCAUAUAUCUUACCAGUCUGUGUUGCAUGUUAUUUGGAUAUGGAAAUCAUGAUAGCCUUGGUGUUGAUAUACAUGCUCAAAAGUGUCAAGUUUGCUAGCUUGUAUUUGUGCAGCGAAUACAGGUUUUCCAAUAUACACCAUGAAUUACUAAUAUGUAAUGUGAUCCACACUUAUAGGUGUUGUGUAUGCCCAUCGAAGCUUUAAGGCCGGCUGUUCGACGGUGCGUUUGGUAGCCGAACUUGAACCUUCUGGCACACGCAAUAGUUGUGCGUGGAUCGCUGUACAUAGUAGUAAUUGAAGGCGUGUAC